GGCGGUUAAUUUUGGCCGGGGCUUUGCCCGCGGCCAAUAUUUGGCACAGGGAGGCCCCUCGUAAAGUCUCGCGGCAUUCCGAGUCCGGCGGACGAAGUAGGCCAGCCCUACCCCCCAAGGCUAUAGCCCACCCGUUUUUGUGGCCUUUUUCCGCUGGACGAACUUGGCGCCUCGGCCUUCGGGCGGUUAUUUUUGGGCGCGGCUUUGCGCGCGGCCUAUUUUUGGCACACAGAGGCCCCUGCCAAAGUCUCCCGGCAUUCCGAGUCCGGCGGACGAAGUUGGCCAGCCCCACUCCCCAAGGCUAUAGCCCACCCGUUUUUGUGGCCUUUUUCCGCUGGACGAACUUGGCGCCCCGGCCUUCGGGCGGUUAUUUUUGGGCGCGGCCUAUUUUUGGUACACGGAGGCCCUUCGCAAUGUCUCGCGGCAUUCCGAGUCCGGCGGACGAAGUUGACCAGCCCCACCCCCCAAGGCUAUAGUCCACCCGUUCUUGUGGCCUUUUUCCGCUCGACGUACUUGGCGCCCCGGCCUUCGGGCGGUUAUUUUUGGGCGCGGCUUUGCCCGCGGCCUAUUUUUGGCAUACGGAGGCCCCUAGCGCAUGAUUAUUGGCAUAGAGAUGCAGGCAGACGAAGUUGGCCAGCAUCUUCCCCCAAGGCUAUAGCCCACCCGUUUUUGUUGCCUUUUUCCGCUGGACGAACUUGGCGCCCCAGCCGUCGGGUGGUUAUUUUUGGGCGCGGCUUUGCCCACGGCCUAUUUUUUGGCACACGGAGGCCCCUCGCAAAGUCUCGCGGCAUUCCGACUCCGGCGGACGAAGUUGGCCAGCAUCACCCCCAAAGGCUAUAGCCCACCCGUUUUUGUGGCCUUUUUCCGCUGGACGAACUUGGCGCCCCGGCCGUCGGGUGGUUAUUUUUGGGCGCGGCUUUCUCCGCGACCUGUUUUUGGCACACGGAGGCCCCUCGCAAAGUCUCGCGUCAUUCUGAGUCCGGCGGACGAAGUUGGCCAGCCCCACCCCCCAAGGCUAUAGCCCACCCGUUUUUGUGGCCUUUUUCCGCUGGACGAACUUGGCGCCCCGGCCUUCGAGCGGUUAUUUUUGGACGCGGCUUUGCCCGCUGCCUAUUUUUGGCAAACGGAGGCCCCUCGCAAAGGCUCGCGGCAUUCCGAAUCCGGCGGACGAAGUUGGCCAGCCCCACCCCCCAAGGCUAUAGCCCACCCGUUUUUGUGGCCUUUUUCCGCUGGACGAACUUGGCGCCCCGGCCGUCGGGUUGUUAUUUUUGGGAGCGGCUUUGCCCGCGGCCUUUUUUUGGCACACGGAGGCCCCUCGCAAAGUCUCGCGUCAUUCUGAGUCCGGCGGACGAAGUUGGCCAGCCCCACCCCCCAAGGCUAUAGCCCACCCGUUUUUGUGGCCUUUUUCCGCUGGACGUACUUGGCACCCCGGCCUUCGGGCCGUUAUUUUUAGGCGCGGCUUUGCCCGCGGCCUAUUUUUGGCAUACGGAGGCCCCUCGCAAAGUCUCGCGGCCUUCCGAGUCCGGUGGACGAAGUAGGCCGGCAUCACCCCCCAAGGCUAUAGCCCACCCGUUUUUGUGGCCUUUUUCCGCUGGACGAGCUUGGCGCCCCGGCCGUCGGGCGGUUAUUUUUGGGCGCGGUUUUGACCACGGCCUAAUUUUUGCACACGGAGGCCCCUUGCAAAGUCACGCGGCAUUCCGAGUCCAGCAGACGAAGUUGGCCAGCAUCACCCCCCAAAGCUAUAGCCCACCCGUUUUUGUGGCCUUUUUCCGCUGGACGAACUUGGCGCCCCGGCCUUCGGGCGGUUAUUUUUGGGUGUUGCUUUGCCCGCGGCCUAUUUUUGGGACACGGAGGCCCCUCGCAAAGUCUCGCGGCAUUCCGAGUCCGGCGGACGAAGUUGGCCAGCCCCACCCCCCAGGGCUAUAGCCCACCCGUUUUUGUGGCCUUUUUCCGCUGGACGUGCUUGGCGCCCCGGCCUUCGGGCGGUUAUUUUUGGGUGCGGCUUUUCCUGUGGCCUAAUUUUGGCACACGGAGGCCCCUGGCAAAGUCUCACGGCAUUCCAAGUCCGGUGGACGAAGUUGGCCAGCCCCACCCCCCAAGGCUAUAGCCCACCCGUUUUUGUGUCCUUUUUCCGCUGGACGAACUUGGCGCCCCGGCCCUCGGGUGGUUAAUUUUGGGCGUGGCUUUGCCCGCAGCCUAUUUUUGGCACACGGAGGCCCCUCGCAAAGUCUCGCGGCAUUCCGAGUCCGGCGGAAGAAGUUGGCCAGCAUCACCCCCCAAGGCUAUAGCCCCCCCGUUUUUGUGGCCUUUUUCCGCUGGACGAACUUGGCGCCCCGGCCUUCGGGCGGUUAAUUUUGGGCGCGGCUUGGCCCACGGCCUAUUUUUGGCACACGGAGGCCCCUCACAAAGUCUCGCGGCAUUCCGAGUCCGGCGGACAAAGUUGGCCAGCAUCAACCCCCAAGGCUAUAGCCCACCCGUUUUUGUGGCCUUUUUCCGCUGGACGAACUUGGCGGCCCGGCCUUCGGCGGUUAUUUUUGGGCGCGGCUUUGCCCCCGGCCUAUUUUUGGCAAACGGAGGCCCCUCGCAAAGUCUCGCGGCAUUCUGAGUCCGGUGGACGAAGUUGGCCAGCCCCACCCCCCAAGGCUAUAGCCCACCCGUUUUUGUGGCCUUUUUCCGCUGGACGAACUUGGCACACCAGCCUUCGGGUGGUUAAUUUUGGGCGCGGCUUUGCCCGAAGCCUAUUUUUGGCACACGGAGGCCCCUCGCAAAGUCUCGCGGCAUUCCGAGUCCGGCGGACGAAGUUGGCCAGCAUCACCCCCCAAGGCUAUAGCCCACCCGUUUUUGUGGCCUUUUUCCGCUGGACGAACUUGGCGCCCCGGCCUUCGGGCGGUUAAUUUUGGGUGUGGCUUUGUCCGCGGCCUAUUUUUGGCACACGGAGGCCCCUCGCAAAGUCUCGCGGCAUUCCGAGUCCGGCGGACGAAGUGGGCCAGCCCCACCCCCCCAGGCUAUAGCCCACCUGUUUUUGUGGACUUUUUCCGCUGGAUGANNNNNNNNNNNNNNNNNNNNNNNNNNNNNNNNNNNNNNNNNNNNNNNNNNNNNNNNNNNNNNNNNNNNNNNNNNNNNNNNNNNNNNNNNNNNNNNNNNNNNNNNNNNNNNNNNNNNNNNNNNNNNNNNNNNNNNNNNNNNNNNNNNNNNNNNNNNNNNNNNNNNNNNNNNNNNNNNNNNNNNNNNNNNNNNNNNNNNNNNNNNNNNNNNNNNNNNNNNNNNGCUUUGCCCGCAGCCAAUUUUGCCACACGGAGGCCCCUCGCAAAAGUCUCGCGGCAUUCCGAGUCCGGCGGACGAAGUUGACCAGCAUCACCCCCCAAGGCUAUAGCCCACCCGUUUUUGUGGCUUUUUUCCGCUGGACGAACUUGGCGCCCCGGCGUUCGGGCGGUUAAUUUUGGGCGCGGCUUUGCCCGCAGCCUAUUUUUGGCAUACGGAGGCCCCUCGCAAAGUCUCGCGGCAUUCGGAGUCCGGCGGACGAAGUGGGCCAGCAUCACCCCCCAAGGCUAUAGCCCACCCGUUUUUCUGGCCUUUUUCCGCUGGACGAACUUGGCGCCCCGGCCUUCGGGCUGUUAAUUUUGGGCUUGACUUUGUCCGCGGCCUAUUUUUGGCACAUGGAGGCCCCUCGCAAAGUCUCGUGGCAUUCCGAGUCCGGCGGACGAAGUUGGCCAGCCCCACCCCCCAAGGCUAUUGGCCACUUGUUUUUGUGGCCUUUUUCCGCUGGACGAACUUGGCGCGCCGGCCUUCGGGCGGUUAUUUUUGGGCACGGCUUUGGCCGCGGCCUAUUUUUUGCACACGGAGGCCCCUCGCAAAGUCUCGCGGCAUUCCGAGUCCGGCGGACGAAUUUUGGCCAGCCCCACCACCCAAGGCUAUAGCCCACCCGUUUUUGUGGCCUUUUUCCGCUGGACGAACUUGGCGCCCCGGCCUUCGGGCGGUUAUUUUUGGGCGCGGCUUUGCCCGCGGCCUAUUUUUGGCACACGGAGAACCCUCCGAAAGUCUCGCGGCAUUCCGAGUCCGGCGGACGAAGUUGGCCAGCCCCACCCCCCAAGGCUAUAGCCCACCCGUUUUGGUGGCCUUUUUCCGCUGGACGAACUUGGCGUCCCGGCCUUCGGGCAGUUACUUUUGGGCGCGGCUUUGCCCGCGGCCUAUUUUUGGCACACGGAGGCCCCUCGCAAAGUCUCGCGCCAUUCCGAGUCCGGCGGACAGGUUGGCCAGCCCCAACCCCAAGGCUAUAGCCCACCCGUUUUUGAGGCCUUUUUCCGCUGGACGAACUUGGCGCCCCGGCCUUCGGGCAGUUAUUUUUGGGCGCGGCUUUGCCCGUGGCCUAUUUUUGGCACACGGAGGCCCCUCGUAAAGUCUCGCGGCAUUCCGAGUCCGGCGGAAAGGUUGGCCAGCCCCACCCCCAAGGCUAUAGCCCACCCGUUUUGGCGGCCUUUUUCCGCUGGACGAACUUGGCGCCCCGGCAUUCGGGCAGUUAUUUUUGGGCGCGGCUUUGCCCCCGGCCUAUUUUUGGCACACGGACGCCCCUCGCAAAGUCUCGCGGCAUUCCGAGUCCGGCGGACGAGGUCGGCCAGCCCCACCCCCCAAGGCUAUAGCCCACCCGUUUUUGUGGCCUUUUUCCGCUGGACGAACUUGGCGCCCCGGGCUUCGGGUGGUUAAUUUUGGGCUCGGCUCUGCCCGCAGCCUAUUUUUUGCACACGGAGGCCCCUCGUAAAGUCUCGCAGCAUUCCGAGUCCGGCGGACGAAGUGGGCCAGCAUCACCCCCCAAGGCUAUAGCCCACCCGUUUUUGUGGCCUUUUUCCGCUGGACGAACUUGGCGCCCCGGCCUUCGGGCUGUUAAUUUUGGGCUCGACUUUGUCCGCGGCCUAUUUUUGGCACAUGGAGGCCCCUCGCAAAGUCUCGCGGCAUUCCGAGUCCGGCGGACGAAGUUGCCCAGCCCCACCCCCCAAGGCUAUAGCCCACCCGUUUUGGUGGCCUUUUUCCGCUGGACGAACUUGGCGCCCCGGCCUUCGGGCGGUUAUUUUGGGCG
rnacentral:lncRNA from 1 species